rnacentral:rRNA from 1 species
CACGUAGGGCGCAAGCGUUGUCCGGAAUUAUUGGGCGUAAAGAGCUCGUAGGCGGUCUGUUGCGUCCGCUGUGAAAACUCGGGGCUUAACCCCGAGCCUGCAGUGGAUACGGGCAGACUAGAGGUAGGUAGGGGAGAAUGGAAUUCCCGGUGUAGCGGUGAAAUGCGCAGAUAUCGGGAGGAACACCGGUGGCGAAGGCGGUUCUCUGGGCCUUACCUGACGCUGAGGAGCGAAAAGCGUGGGGAGCGAACAGG